UACAGAGGUCUCAAGCGUUGUUCGGAUUCAUUGGGCGUAAAGGGUGCGUAGGCGGCGCGGUAAGUCGGGUGUGAAAUCUCGGAGCUUAACUCCGAAACUGCAUUCGAUACUGCCGUGCUUGUGGACUGGAGAGGAGACUGGAAUUUACGGUGUAGCGGUGAAAUGCGUAGAUAUCGUAAGGAAGACCAGUGGCGAAGGCGGGUCUCUGGACAGUUCCUGACGCUGAGGCACGAAGGCCAGGGGAGCAAACGGG
rnacentral:rRNA from 1 species